AUUGAACGCUGGCGGCAUGCCUAACACAUGCAAGUCGAACGGCAGCACAGCAGUAGCAAUACUGUGGGUGGCGAGUGGCGGACGGGUGAGGAAUACGUCGGAAUCUGCCCAGUCGUGGGGGGAUAACUAGCCGAAAGGUUAGCUAAUACCGCAUACGACCGAGAGGUGAAAGCGGGGGACCGCAAGGCCUCGCGCGAUUGGAUGAGCCGACGUCGGAUUAGCUAGUUGGCGGGGUAAAGGCCCACCAAGGCGACGAUCCGUAGCUGGUCUGAGAGGAUGAUCAGCCACACUGGAACUGAGACACGGUCCAGACUCCUACGGGAGGCAGCAGUGGGGAAUAUUGGACAAUGGGCGCAAGCCUGAUCCAGCAAUGCCGCGUGUGUGAAGAAGG
rnacentral:rRNA from 1 species